UACAGAGGGUGCGAGCGUUAAUCGGAAUUACUGGGCGUAAAGCGUGCGCAGGCGGUGAUGUAAGACAGAUGUGAAAUCCGCGGGCUUAACCUGGGAACUGCAUUUGUGACUGCAUCGCUGGAGUGCGGCAGAGGGGGAUGGAAUUCCGCGUGUAGCAGUGAAAUGCGUAGAUAUGCGGAGGAACACCGAUGGCGAAGGCAAUCCCCUGGGCCUGCACUGACGCUCAUGCACGAAAGCGUGGGGAGCAAACAGG
rnacentral:rRNA from 1 species